rnacentral:lncRNA from 1 species
CGUCGGCCAAGAAUAAACACAGACCACUGGGGCUGCAGAGAACCGAGAACCUAGAACGCAGCAACUUGGAGGAGGGAACUGAGAAGCUAACACAGCCUGUUGUAACACUGAAAGCUAGAUCUGAAAAGGAUUUUAGAACAGAGAAUUCAGAGCAAGAAGGGACUUUAGAACAGGGAAGAGAGAAUGUCAGCUGGGAGGAAGCUUAGAUGAUUUCAUCUGAUCUACCCUCAGUCAUUUUUCAGAGGAGGAAAUUGAGUUGGAAGAAGAGAGACUAGCCUGACUCAUAGCCAUGCAGCUCGUUCCUGGCAAAGCCAGAACUCAGUUCAGGCCCCUGAUUCCAAGGCAAAGGUUCUCUUCCUCUGUACCGCUGCUGGCACCCUGCAUAAGGUCGAAGAAUGGAGAAGAGAAAACUGACAGUGAGGGAAGAAGUAAAAUGGACUGACUACUAUGCACAGCCUGAAGCACAUCCCUGGGAGUCCCAGGAAUGCCAACUCAGCAGCCGCUGAAGCAGCAGCAACAUCUGGUCCUGGGCCCAGCUAGAAGGGGAGAAAAGGAGAACUAGGUCUCACUUUCCUUGAAACCCCAAGGCUGGUGGGGAAUUGCAGUUCUCCAGUCCUGCUUCCCAUUCUUUCUUUGUACAGCAUCCAAAGUCCUGGUGUGGAAGCAGUCAGAAUUAGCUGCCAAUAUCAAAUCAGUACUCGGGACAUCUGUCUCUCUGAAGUUUCCAUCAUUCUGGCUUAUAUUCUCUGGUUGGAGAAGUGGGGGAAAAGAGGAAAGUGAAAUUCACCGUUUGUAUGACCUUUGUCAAGUCACUUUUACUCUCUACACUUCAAUUUCUUUUCUUUCUAAAUGAGGGGAAUGAACUAUAGGAUUUGUAAGUGACCUUCUAGCUCUAAAUCUUCUGAUUUAGCAUAUGCUAAGGGAUAGCCUGGAAGUGACUUUUCUAUUUAUUCAUGGACUUCAAAAACUGGGAAAGAUCUUAGAGAUAAUCUAGUCCAGGAGUAUCCAAAUUUUCUUGGAUACCUUUGGGUUUGAUAUAUGUUGACAAUUUCAUGAAUACUGUGUUGGGAAGUGUAAAGGC